rnacentral:rRNA from 1 species
AGAGUUUGAUCGUGGCUCAGGGUGAACGCUGGCGAUGUGCCUAAGACAUGCAAGUCUAACGGUCCUGCUUGCAGGACAGUGGCGAACGGGUGAGUAAUGGGUACGAACGUACCUCCAAGUGGGGCAUAGCCCGCCGAAAGGCGGAGUAAUUCCCCAUAAUGCCUUCGGGCUAAAGAUUUAUCGCUUGGAGAGCGGCGUACUUGCUACCAGCUGGUUGGUGGGGUAAAGGCCCACCAAGGCUAUGACGGCUACCGGCUCUUAGCGGAGAGUCCGGCACAAUGGGACUGAGACACGGCCCAUACACCUACGGGUGGCAGCAGUUAGGAAUCUUGCGCAAUGGACGAAAGUCUGACGCAGCAACAUCGCGUGUAGGAUGACGGCCUUCGGGUUGUGAACUACUUUUAUUUAACAAUAUUGUUAGAGGAAUAAGCACCUACUAACUACGUGCCAGCAGUCGCGGUAAUACGUAGGGUGCGAGCGUUACCCGGUUUUAUUGGGCGUAAAGGGUCUGUAGGCGGUCUUUUAAGUCUUGUUUCAAAGCCUCCGGCUCAACCGGAGAAAGGGGCAGGAUACUAGAAGACUAGAGUGAUAUCGGGGUUACUGGAAUUUGUAGUGUAGGGGUUAAAUCCGUGGAUACUACAAAGAACACCAAUCGCGAAGGCGGGUAACUAGGUAUAUACUGACGCUAAAAGACGAAAGCUAGGGUAGCAAAUCAGAUUAGAGACCUGAGUAGUCCUAGCUGUAAACGAUGUCUGUUAAUUUUUCUCGAGCAAUCGGGAGAGAUGUAAGCUAACGCGUUAAACAGACCGCCUGGGGAGUAUAGCCGCAAGGCCGAAACUCAAACGAAUUGGCGGGGAGGCGCACAACCAGUGGAGCAUGUGGUUCAAUUCGACACGAAGCGAUGAACCUUACCUGGGUUUGACAUAUAUUUGCACGGCCCCCGAAAAGGGGUCUUCCUUCGAGGGUAAUAUACAGCUGUUGCAUGGCUGUCGUCAGCUCGUGACGUGAGUUGUUCUCUUAAGUGAGGUAACGAGCGCAACCCCUAUCGUAUGUUACUGUGUCAUACGAAACUGCCUAGCAUUAUUUUUGUUGGGAGGAAGGAGGGGACGACGUCAAGUCAGCAUGAUGCUUAUGUCCAGGGCUACACACAUCCUACAAUGGGGUAUACAACGGGUCGCAAUGCCGCGAGGCGGAGCCAAUCCUUAAAAUACCUCUCAGUUGGGACUGCAGGCUGAAAUUCGCCUGCACGAACUUGGAAUUGGUAGUAAUCGCAGAUCAGCGGGCUGCGGUGAAUACGUUCUCGCCUCUUGCACACACUGCCCGUCAAAUCAGCAAAGUUGAGGGCACCCAAAACUUAGCAUUUGCUAAGCUAAGGUGAAUUCAGCGAUGAGGGUUAAGUCGUAACAAGGUA